UAAAUUAAAAGAGGGGAGAAUUAGAUUAAAUGGUAGGAAGAAAUUCUUUACUCAGAGGGUGGUGAGGCACUGGCAAAGGUUGCCCAGAGAGGUUUUGGAUGCCCCGUCCCUAGAGGUGUUUGGGGCAAGGCUGGUGUACUGGGACUGGG